rnacentral:rRNA from 1 species
UACGUAGGGACCAAGCGUUGUUCGGAUUUACUGGGCGUAAAGGGCGCGUAGGCGGCGUGUUAAGUCAGCUGUGAAAUCUCCGAGCUUAACUCGGAACGGUCAGCUGAUACUGAUGUGCUAGAGUGCAGAAGGGGCAAUCGGAAUUCUCGGUGUAGCGGUGAAGUGCGUAGAUAUCGAGAGGAACACCUGCGGCGAAGGCGGGUUGCUGGGCUGACACUGACGCUGAGGCGCGAAAGCUAGGGGAGCGAACGGG